rnacentral:rRNA from 1 species
AUUGAACGCUGGCGGCAUGCUUUACACAUGCAAGUCGAACGGCAGCGCGGGCUUCGGCCUGGCGGCGCGUGGCGAACGGGUGAGUAAUGCAUCGGAACGUGCCCAGUAGUGGGGGAUAGCCCGGCGAAAGCCGGAUUAAUACCGCAUACGACCUGAGGGUGAAAGCGGGGGACCGAAAGGCCUCGCGCUCUUGGAGCGGCCGAUGUCGGGUUAGCUAGUUGGUGGGGUAAAGGCUUACCAAGGCGACGAUCCGUAGCUGGUCUGAGAGGACGACCAGCCACACUGGGACUGAGACACGGCCCAGACUCCUACGGGAGGCAGCAGUGGGGAAUUUUGGACAAUGGGGGCAACCCUGAUCCAGCCAGGCCGCGUGCGGGAAGAAGGCCUUCGGGUUGUAAACCGCUUUUGUUCGGGAAGAAAUCCUCUGGGCUAAUACCCCGGGGGGAUGACGGUACCGGAAGAAUAAGCACCGGCUAACUACGUG